rnacentral:tRNA from 1 species
AUUAAAAUAGCUUAAGUAAAAGCAAAACAUUGAAGCUGUUUAGUUGAUAAAUUUCUUUUAAUC